ACAUAGGGUGCAAGCGUUGUCCGGAAUUAUUGGGCGUAAAGAGCUCGUAGGUGGUUAGUUACGUCGGAUGUGAAAAUCUAGGGCUCAACCCUAGACCUGCAUCCGAUACGGGCUAGCUUGAGUUUGGUAGGGGAGACUGGAAUUCCUGGUGUAGCGGUGGAAUGCGCAGAUAUCAGGAGGAACACCAAUGGCGAAGGCAGGUCUCUGGGCCAAUACUGACACUGAGGAGCGAAAGUGUGGGGAGCGAACAGGAUUAGAUACCCUGGUAGUCCACACAGUAAACGAUGGGCACUAGUUGUGGGAACCUUCCACGGUUUCUGCGACGCAGCUAACGCAUUAAGUGCCCCGCCUGGGGAGUACGAUCGCAAGAUUA
rnacentral:rRNA from 1 species